rnacentral:rRNA from 1 species
AUAUCAAUAAGCGGAGGAAAAGAAACCAACAGGGAUUGCCUCAGUAACGGCGAGUGAAGCGGCAACAGCUCAAAUUUGAAAUCUGGCCUUCCGGUCCGAAUUGUAAUUUGUAGAGGAUGCUUCGAACGUGGUCCGGUCUAAGUUCCUUGGAACAGGACGUCAUAGAGGGUGAGAAUCCCGUAUGUGACUGGGUGCCUUAGUUCAUGUGAAGCUCCUUCGACGAGUCGAGUUGUUUGGGAAUGCAGCUCAAAAUGGGUGGUAAAUUUCAUCUAAAGCUAAAUAUUGGCGAGAGACCGAUAGCGAACAAGUACCGUGAGGGAAAGAUGAAAAGAACUUUGAAAAGAGAGUUAAACAGUAC